GAUGAACGCUGGCGGCGUGCCUAAUACAUGCAAGUCGAACGCGAAAGGAGGGAGCUUGCUCCCUCUGAUCGAGUGGCGGACGGGUGAGUAACGCGUAGGCAACCUGCCCAUCAGCCGGGGAUAACUGCGGGAAACCGUGGCUAAUACCGGAUAAUCCUCUCCACCGCGGGGUGGGGAGUUGAAAGACGGUUUCGGCUGUCGCUGAUGGAUGGGCCUGCGGCGCAUUAGCUGGUUGGCGGGGUAACGGCCCACCAAGGCAACGAUGCGUAGCCGGCCUGGGAGGGGGAUGGGCCACACUGGGACUGAGACACGGCCCAGACUCCUACGGGAGGCAGCAGUAGGGAAUCUUCCGCAAUGGACGCAAGUCUGACGGAGCAACGCCGCGUGAGUGAAGAAGGGUUUCGGCUCGUAAAACUCUGUUGUUAAGGAAGAACGCCAGGUAGAGUAACUGCUACCUGUGUGACGGUACUUAACCAGAAAGCCACGGCUAACUACGUGCCAGCCGCCGCCGUAA
rnacentral:rRNA from 1 species